UGGCCAACCUCCGGUGAAGAAGCUCGUCGUGCCUACCAACGCCCCAGUUCCGGUGGGUUGCUCCGAGUUGCUUAGUAGCUUACCUUCAAUCGUUGGGUCAACGCAUCUGCAGAUGAAGGUAAUUGAUGGUUGACGCUCCACUUCCUCUCCCCACGAUCUGCACAAGAAACUGAAGAAAUUGAUGAUUGAUGCUUCACUUACUCUCCCCACGAUCUGCAGAAGAAAUUGAAGAAAUCCCCUUUAAAGUCUGCCCCACCUCAGCUCAUCCUUUUCACA